GCUGUAGCUCAGCAGUACAGCAUGUGCUUGGCAUGCACAGAACCCUGGGUUCAAUCCCCAGAGCA
rnacentral:tRNA from 1 species